CUUCUCCUGGCUCUCCUCCCUUU
rnacentral:miRNA from 1 species